rnacentral:rRNA from 1 species
GACGAGCGCUGGCGGCGUGCCUAAUACGUGCAAGUCGAACGCUUCUUUCCUCCCGAGUGCUUGCACUCAAUUGGAAAGAGGAGUGGCGGACGGGUGAGUAACACGUGGGUAACCUACCCAUCAGAGGGGGAUAACACUUGGAAACAGGUGCUAAUACCGCAUAACAGUUUAUGCCGCAUGGCAUAAGAGUGAAAGGCGCUUUCGGGUGUCGCUGAUGGAUGGACCCGCGGUGCAUUAGCUAGUUGGUGAGGUAACGGCUCACCAAGGCCACGAUGCAUAGCCGACCUGAGAGGGUGAUCGGCCACACUGGGACUGAGACACGGCCCAGACUCCUACGGGAGGCAGCAGUAGGGAAUCUUCGGCAAUGGACGAAAGUCUGACCGAGCAACGCCGCGUGAGUGAAGAAGGUUUUCGGAUCGUAAAACUCUGUUGUUAGAGAAGAACAAGGACGUUAGUAACUGAACGUCCCCUGACGGUAUCUAACCAGAAAGACACGGCUAACUACGUG